GCCGGGAUGGCGGAGUGGAUAACGCGCAGGCCUUGAGAGCCUGUGGCCCUUUUGGGCCGCGUGGGUUCGAAUCCCACUCCCGGCGCCA
rnacentral:tRNA from 1 species